rnacentral:tRNA from 1 species
GCAUUGGUGGUUCAGUGGUAGAAUUCUACGCCUGCCCGCGUGAGGCCCGGAUUCGAUUCCGGCCAAUGCA